CAGGAAGAAGGCAAGAAUGUGAGGAUUUUACAGACCGAUGAAUUGAAGUGAACACAAACUUCACAGCUCUGACCUUUUAAAGCGUCAGUCAUACUGGGAGCAUUGGCAUGGAACAGUGAUUUUGAUUUGUGCUAUGAUCAGAAACACCGAGAGACUCCAUUCUGCACUUUGUCACCCCUCUUGCCAGCGCAAUUUUGGAAAGCCAGGGAUCUGUUCUGCUUCAAGCUCUUCGCAAAGAUGAACCCCAAGGCCCACAUCUCACUGCAUCCGAAUGAACUUUCCCUUUUGAGUACAACAGGGAAGUAAAGCAGAUGAGGAAACCCAACAGAAGUUUCCACGUUAGUGGUUCAAGUGCUUAGAUGGUUGCUGUUUUCCCAAGACCAUCGUUCUCAUUAUAAACAGUUGACUCAGAAACAUUACAACAGAUUUCAAACAAAGCGUUCCCUCCCCAUCCCCUGCUGCUCUCUUCCCAAUACACAGAAAUGCUUAAAGCAAACCAGAUGUGCUGCACAAGGAUAUUCUGUGAUAAAAUCCUCAGACGGUUCUCACUCUCCCAGUCUGUACUCCAGCGUUAGAAGUGGCCAGUUCAUUUCCCUAAGCUAUUAUGCAAAAUAGUCUGACAGACUAAGGUGCUGGAGAGAUGAUUUUCCUUCUCUAAUGUGACUUUCACACUCUCCCGAUGAUAUACAACUUUAAUAAAAAACAUUAGAAGAAAGUUCAGCUAAGUUGGGCAUGUGGCACACAACUCAGUCCAAUUCUCCCCUCAGGCACUAAUUCAAAACAUAUCCAAAAAUGCUGAUAAUCAUCCAGUGUGCUGAGAGCCUGGGGAAAACGCACAGAAGUUCAUGUGCUGGAAGGUCAUGAACAGGCAAUGCCAUUUUGGGUAAGAAUUCCCAAGCAAACUUCAUCUCCAGCACAAAGGUGAGAUGCAUUUGACUCAGCUGAUAAGAAGGCAUGAGAUAAUACCAGUUGGGUCUUCGGUGGAACUCUUCAUCCUUUAAACUCUUAGGUUCUUGCACCUUGCUUUGCUAGUUCACUGAAGAAACAGCUAUCAGGACUCAACAUAUUGGACUCUUUCCUACUUCAGGAGGCUGCCAGAGCAGAUAUUCCCGUAACAAGGCUCACCUUGGUUCUGAGAUCUGAGACAGCUUAUAAAGUGCUGUGAGACCCUUCAGAGUGAUUCUAGCUGAAACCGCACACUUUGUGCUGUACUCCCUGCAAACAGACUAUGAGGGAGAAUCUCAGCCCUUGAGAUCUUGCAGCUAAUCAGAAAAAAAAAAUAAGGAAGGAAAGGAAAAAAAAAAAAGUUGAUGAGAAACAAAGGCAAGGAGAACAGGACACACCAGCACCAAAAAGAGCCCAUCACCUUACCCCCAAAUUCACCAGGCUGCUGCUCCUCAGUACCUCCAUCAGUACUCGAAACAUCAGGACACAGCUGAAGACAAAAAUUAACCUUGAUGAUUUCCUAAUACUAAUCAUAGAGGGACAAAGUGCUGGGUUUUAUUCUUUUGGGAAAGGUAUUUUUCUUUAGAAGCAGCAUUUUCCACUACGAAUAUCAUUAGAAAAGCAGAAUGAAAGGAUGGAAGUCAGCGAGCCAACUUCUUCAGUUAUAACCCCGGGAAGAUUAAUAGCUAGGCUCAUUGUCCUAGGCUCCACAAAGAGAAAUGGGCUGGAUAAGCUCUGACUUAUUGCCUUAUCCUCCCAUUGCCUUUCAGAACAAUUUUUCCUGGCUUUGUCCAAAUAGACUGAUAUGACAUGGAAAAAUUACUUUUUUCUUUGAACGUUUUGUGUAAGAUUCUUCAAAUCUGGCUUAAAAGCAGAGUAGAGGGGAAAAAAAAAAUCCAUCCUUCAAAGAAUAGAAGUCAAUCCCUGAAUCCAGCCUGUUCUGGGUACACAGGCUGUAGAAGGUUACAGACGGCCAGCAUAAUAUACAAAAUCUCCCUACAACACUAAUCUGUGCCUAGCAAUUCAAUGAGAUAAAAAUUUGAUAACACGUUGGCUGGCUGUGAUUGCCCAGGGAAAAACAUCUCCUUCAUAAUAAUCUUAUUAUAGGCUAGUAGAGCUAUUUUUGUGCCUAUUCUUUGUGCAGAACAAUUUAUUUUUAUGGCUAGUAAAAGGAAAUAAAUUUCUCGGAAAUGGCUCCUCAGUGAA